UACGAGUGCCCCAAGCGUUAUCCGGAAUUAUUGGGCGUAAAGGGUGUGUAGGUGGUUGUGUUAGUCUUCUGUUAAAUUCUUCGGCUUAACCGGGGGCAUGCAGAGGAAACGGCACAACUAGAGGAUGCGAGAGGUAAAUGGAACUCAUGGAGUAGGGGUGAAAUCCGUUGAUAUCAUGGGGAACACCAAAAGCGAAGGCAAUUUACUGGCGCACUCCUGACACUGAGACACGAAAGCGUAGGUAGCGAAAUGGG
rnacentral:rRNA from 1 species